rnacentral:lncRNA from 1 species
GUCGAGGAGAGCGUCGACGAGGUGCUCGCGGGCGGCAGGCCGAUGGUGCAGGUGCGCUCCAGGGACCAGAACACCGGCCAGGUUCGCUUCAACCGCACGGUGUACGACAUGGACGUCUUCCUGUCCCAGAAGAACGUCGCCUACACCCUCGGGUCCAUGGGCGGUCUCAUGGGUGCCACCGCCGACCUGGCCGAGGCGAGGAGUUUCGGGCUCGCGGAGGAGGGCAUGGCCAACAACGCCGUCGCCAAUGGCUGGUCGCCGUCCGACUACCCGGGAACAAACGACUCCAUCGACGACCCGUACGCGUGGGCGAAUAACCUCGGUAUGGUUCCGG